UACGGAGGGGGGCUAGCGUUGUUCGGAAUUACUGGGCGUAAAGCGUACGUAGGCGGCUUUGUAAGUUAGAGGUGAAAGCCUGGAGCUCAACUCCAGAACUGCCUUUAAGACUGCAUCGCUUGAAUCCAGGAGAGGUGAGUGGAAUUCCGAGUGUAGAGGUGAAAUUCGUAGAUAUUCGGAAGAACACCAGUGGCGAAGGCGGCUCACUGGACUGGUAUUGACGCUGAGGUACGGAAAGCGUGGGGAGCAAACAGG
rnacentral:rRNA from 1 species